rnacentral:ncRNA from 1 species
GCGAAAGUAUCACUAGAUUAGGCUUUGAUUGCGUUCCUGUUGAAGAAUGAGCCGGCGAAUCAUAAGUAGUGGCUUAGGUAACGAAACACACCUAAGCCAUAGCAAAAACGAGUUUUCAUAGAGCAAUAGUCACUGCUUAUGGACCCGAACCUAGGUGAUCUAUCCAUGAUCCGAAUGAAGCUUGGGUAAAACUAAGUAAAGGCCGAUGUUGAAGAAUCAACAAGUGAGUUGCGGUUAGGAGUGAAAUGCCACUUGCACCCAGAGCUAGCUAGUUCUCCCCGAAAUACAUUGAGGUGUAAUAGUUGACUGGACAUCUAUGGAUAAAGAACGAUUUCGAUGCAGGUCGCAAGAGCGAUACCAAAUCAAAAAAAACUCUGAAUACUAGAUAUGAUCUUAAAAAUAGGGAGGCAAGGUCUAGUGAGACGGUAGGGGAUAAGCUUCAUUGUCAAGAGAAAAAGAGUUUGGAUCACCAGCUGAGGCACCUAAAUGACCGCUCAGUGAUAAAAGAGGUAGGGGUGCAGAGAUAACCAAGAGGUUUGCUUAGAAGCUACCACCCUUGAAAGAAUGUGUAAUAGUUUAUUGAUCAAGGGCUCUUGCACCGAAGAUAAACGGGGCUAAGCGAUCCUGAUGAAGCUGUGAGAUGUCAAAAUACAUCUACAGAGAUAUUUUAAUUCCUUGUUCACUCUUUCCAGUACUUUGUGAAAAAUAGCAAUUAGGA